rnacentral:rRNA from 1 species
CUAAGAAUAUUUCCGGCAAUGGACGAAAGUCUGACGGAGCGACGCCGCGUGGAUGAAGAAGGCCGGAAGGUUGUAAAGUUCUUUUAAGUCAUGAAGAAGGAUUAUUGCAGGAAAUGGCAGUAAAGUGACGGUAGUGCUUGAAUAAGAGGCGGCUAAUUACGUGCCAGCAGCCGCGGUAACACGUAAGCCUCGAGCGUUGUUCGGAAUUAUUGGGCGUAAAGGGCAUGUAGGCGGAAUUGCAAGCUUGAUGUGAAAGGCAGGGGCGUUAACUCCUGGAUUGCGUUGAGAACUGCAUAACUAGAGUAACUGAGGGGCAGC